rnacentral:rRNA from 1 species
CUCUUGGUAGAGAGUGACGGGCAAUUUGUACCUAAUUAAUUACUAAUAUUCAAAAUAAAUAAUUAUUUAUUUUUACUUUUAAAUCUAACUAAAUAUUCUCUUUACAAAUAAUAAUUCGCUAAAUUUUAAUCUAUAUAACUCACCUCAACCAAUAACAUUAGCUGCAUGUAAUCUAAAUUUUUAUUUUUAUAAGACUUUUUUAAAUUAAAUAAAACAUCAAUAACCAUACACAAACUGUUCAACUAAUUAUUGUAAGAUUUAGGUGUUUUAUCCUUAAAAGGGUGAAUUCCUCUAAAUAGUUUAACUACUGCCAUUAAAUUUUGGUUUCAUGAACUUCAAUUACUACCAAAUAUUAAAUUUUAUAAUA